rnacentral:lncRNA from 1 species
GCAGGAGGUGUCUCCAGUGUGAAAAGACAUGGAAGCAAGCUGGAGAUUCGCGACUCAGCUACAAUGAACUCCAUUAAAAUCCUUUGAAGCAUUCAAUUGCCGCAACAGACCUAGAGGAAAAUAGCCCAAUUAACUCACCCACUCACCAAAAAUAAGAAAUGGAGGGAAAGAGAUCCAAGAACACAAACCUACACUACAAUGGGUGAGUGGAUAAGAAGCAUAAACAUGUAGCAAUACAACAAGCCUCUGAAGGAGACAUGGCGGCUCAGCGGUGACGGCAAGAGAGGCGAGCUGCUGGCUAGCAUCCUCUUCAGUCUCAGCGUAGUACCUACAAAGAAAUGUACCCCUGUAGAAAUACCGAACCAUUACAAAUGUAGCCUCCCAUAAAAAUAUAACCCUCUUCUAAUAAUAACAAAAAUUCUAGUAAAUACAUAUUUCAUUAGCAAGAGAACGGGCAACCUCUUUGUUUGUUGAUAGCUUAGCAGGCUCCAAAAGCAGGGAAAACUCUUGUUGGUUGAUAGCUUGUAAGUCACUAAAGGUAGCUUGAGGUCCGCACACAAAAAUUAAGUCCUCUGAGAUCACAUAAGAGACAUAAUAUAAAUUUCAAAUAUUUACAAAUAAAGUCACAGUUUGGUUUGGUCUGUUCCCUUGAAAGAAAAACGGAUAAGACAUGGGACUUUAUGACAAAAAUAAUGGCUAAUUACAUGAGUGGUAUCAGGUUUCAAAGAUUUUGUGAUACCAAGAAUACUAAAGUAUAGUGAUUAAAAGGGAAACAUGAUUACUGAACAUUAUUUAUUGCCAAAUUAUUAUCUUUGAAGAAGUCCCACAGAAAAAAGGAAAUAGAUAAGUUGUAAAGAUCACCGUGCAUUUUCGCUAAAUCUUGAACUAAAUUCAGUUCAUAAAUUUAAAAGCAUUCUCUGAAGGGCUUGACCUAAGAAAGAUGAUGAGCCGGAGAUUAACUACAUUGGCGGUUUCAACAACAUAUACAUAGCAACAACUCUUAUAGAUCCUACCUAACACAUGCAGUAAAAAUAUUUUGGUAGGGAAUCAAAGAUAAAUAAAAUUUAGCUGGCUCCUAACCAUUUAUGUGGGGUUACAUGAUGUAUUCAACGACCCUGAGAAUAGUGCAGGAAAUUUAAGGGUAUGGAGUCAUACUUGUCUGCAGUUAUAAAAGAAGAGUUGCUUGUCUGUUGCGUGAGUUCAAGAGGGACGAACGUGAAUGGUUUCAAGGAGGUUAACAGUCGCACUACCAGUUCACCACAGUUCAGUCGCUCGACACCAUAACCGACGGUUGCGUCCUUUACUGGUUUGAUUAAAACUAUCAUUGGUAUGCCUCCUCCUUCCGUGCAUAAACACCCAGGGAUAAAUUCAUCUACAGGGUCAAAAAUAGGUGCUGGAUUAAUGCAUAUUCAGAACUUGGGACCAAGAAAAAGUCCACAUUUGCGGAGUAAUGCAUUAUUGGCAGAAAUAGAGAAGUAGCUAUAAUUAUUAAAAACACCAAGAGCCUUCACUAAAUGUUUUGGUGGCAGAAAUAGAGUAAUAUAGGAAUCUGUUUAAAAAACUUCUAAUCUGAUUUGGUGGCAACUCUUGCUGCAAUGACAAGUGCCCAUGCAUCUGAUAAAAUAUAAACCUUAUAGUUAAUUUAAAUGU